CAGGGAAUCUUCGGCAAUGGACGAAAGUCUGACCGAGCAACGCCGCGUGAGUGAAGAAGGUUUUCGGAUCGUAAAACUCUGUUGUUAGAGAAGAACAAGGACGUUAGUAACUGAACGUCCCCUGACGGUAUCUAACCAGAAAGCCACGGCUAACUACGUGCCAGCAGCCGCGGUAAUACGUAGGUGGCAAGCGUUGUCCGGAUUUAUUGGGCGUAAAGCGAGCGCAGGCGGUUUCUUAAGUCUGAUGUGAAAGCCCCCGGCUCAACCGGGGAGGGUCAGUUGCAACGGGGAGACUUGAGUGCAGAAGAGGAGAGUGGAAUUCCAUGUGUAGCGGUGACAUGCGUAGAUAUAUGGAGGAACACCAGUGGCGAAGGCGGCUCGCUGGUCUGUAACUGACGCUGAGGCUCGAAAGCGUGGGGAGCAAACAGG
rnacentral:rRNA from 1 species